UCCCUGCCCGUCGGGUAGCCUGCGAUGAGAUUAAAGACGGAAUAAGCAUGUAGACCUCGUAGCGGAGGACUUGCGGACGCGGGCUCGAUCCCCGCCGCCUCCACCA
rnacentral:tmRNA from 1 species